CAGUAGCCGCGGGAAUACGGAGGGGGCUAGCGUUGUUCGGAAUUACUGGGCGUAAAGCGCACGUAGGCGGCUUGGUAAGUUAGAGGUGAAAGCCCGGAGCUCAACUCCGGAAUUGCCUUUAAGACUGCCGAGCUAGUAGGUGAGAGAGGUAAGUGGAAUUCCGAGUGUAGAGGUGAAAUUCGUAGAUAUUCGGAAGAACACCAGUGGCGAAGGCGGCUUACUGGCUCAUUCUAGACGCUGAGGUGCGAAAGCGUGGGGAGCAAACAGGAUUAGAUACCCGCGUAGUCCCUGUCUCUUAUAC
rnacentral:rRNA from 1 species